UUCGAUUAGUGAAGAACAUCCAAGUAGAGUCUAAAAACCUAUUUAAAUUGGGAUGUAUCUCUGCCAAAGGCUGUUUUGCUGGGAGACAAUGCAAACAAAUUCAUGACUGACAAAAGAGGCAGCAGAGCCAUGGAACAUUAGGCAUCUACUGCAGGUCCUUACAGAGUGAACCCUGAAGUACAUGGGAGACAUCUCGACAUCUUCAGGAAAAGACACAGGCAAUUAUAUUUCAUAAGAGAAGUUAUAGAAGUGCACAGCAGAGGAACACGACUGACAGCAGCAUAUGGAGGGAGCCUGAGGACUACACAGAAUUGCAUAUCACUGGAUUUUGGUCUGUGUUACAUACACAGAGUCAUUAUUUUUUAUUACUGACUGCUCUGACUGCAUUAAACACCUGAACAAUAAAGAUGUUGUGGUUUCCUGUCA
rnacentral:lncRNA from 1 species